UAUUGUCAUAUAAAGCUUUCAGCUGGUC
rnacentral:piRNA from 1 species